AGCUUAUUUAAAAUGAUUUAUCUUACUAAGUUAACAUUUUAUUACUUUUCUAAUAAUGCAGAACAGGAACAUAACUCCUUAACAAAUAGAUUUUCACGACGACUUUAUGUAUUAUUCAUCCAGGAGGUGUAACACAACGAGGAUUAAAGGUUAAUAAAUAUAUGUAUAUUCGAAUUAUUGCAAAGAUAUCUCAGAAGCACAGAAACAAAAUAUCAAGCAUCAGGAAAAGUUGAAGAGAACAGAGUAUUCAUCUUAAGGAAGGGACAACUUAAUCAUGAACGCUUGAAGGACCAAAUACAAGGAGUUGCAAGCAUCUGUAAGAAACUAGACCAAAAGAAUAUAUGCCAUAGACUUGUGACUAGAAAUGCCGAAGGUGCCUUACUUCCUUCAACUCAGUAUGUACCUCUAGGCAGAGGUGGAGGCAAUAGAAUGUACCUGAACAACUGAAAGACUUGGCUAGAGUUCUGGAAGCAAGCAAGUUACCUAGAUAUUAGUUUGGUUAUACAGGCUUUUACUUGGACAAGGCACUCUGGAUUGUACAUCAAAUACAAGGAAAUGUGGAUGGAAAAAAAUUAUGUUUUGAGAAUAAUUGUUAAACUGCUUGAGCUUAUAAUUUUUGUU